CCUACGGGAGGCAGCAGUGAGGAAUAUUGGUCAAUGGGCGUAAGCCUGAACCAGCGAAGUCGCGUGAGGGAUGAAGGUUCUAUGGAUCGUAAACCUCUUUUAUAAGGGAAUAAAUUGCGGGACGUGUCCCGUUUUGUAUGUCCCUUAUGAAUAAGGCUCGGCUAACUCUGUGCCAGCAGCCGCGGUAAUACGGAGGGUCCGAGCGUUAUCCGGAUUUAUUGGGUUUAAAGGGUGCGUAGGCGGCCUUGUAAGUCAGCGGUGAAAGGCGGUGGCUCAACCAUAGGAUUGCCGUUGAAACUGGGAGGCUGGAGUAUGUGUGAGGCAGGCGGAAUGCGUGGUGUAGCGGUGAAAUGCUUAGAUAUCACGAAGAACCCCGAUGGCGAAGGCAGCCUGCCAAGCCAUGACUGACGCUGAUGCACGAAAGCGUGGGGAUCAAACAGGAUUAGAUACCCUGGUAGUC
rnacentral:rRNA from 1 species